UUCACGCCCGUUAGGUUAGCUAUAAUCAAAGAAAGAGAAACUAGCAAGUGUUGGUGAGUAUCUGAAGAAAUUAAAACCCUUUGUGUUGUUGGUGGGAUUGUGAAAUGGUAUAGUCACCAUGGAAAAUAAAAGGGCAGUUUCUCAAAGAAUUAAGCAUAGAAUUACAUAUGAUCUAGCACAGCCUCAUCUGGGUACAUACCCAAAGAACUGAAAGCAGGGUUUUGAAGAGGUUCUUGGACACCCAUGUUCGUAUAAGUAUUAUUCAAAGUAGCUAAAAUGUGGAAUCAACUCCAGUGUCCAUCAACCCAAGAAAGGAUAAGGAGAAUGUGGUAUAUGCAUACAAUGGAGUAUCAUUCAACCUUAAAAAGGAAGAAAAUUCUGAAUAUGCACAACACGGAUGAAUCCUGAGGACGGGAAGUAUUAUGGCAACUGCCAGGGGCUGAGGGACAUUGGGAUAGGGAGUUAGUGUUUAAUGGGCCAGAGUUUCAGUUUUACAAGAUGGAUGACAAGGGUGGACAGCACGAGGGCUGCACGAUAUAAAAGUAGCUCAAGCCCCUGAGCUGUACACUCAAAAGUGACAAAUUUUAUUUUAUGUGUAUUUUACCAAAAGAAAACACUGUGGAAAAAGAAACAGUAGGAGCAGACUUAGAACCUGCUGCUGCAUGGAAAUUUGGGGCAGAAUGGAAUUUGUCUACUGCCUCUAGACAUUACACGAAAACCAGAGCCAGAACCGAGUAAAGGCAGGCUAAGGGAGCAAUUGCAAAAGGCUUUAAGAUGACCUCGGCAAUGACCUCCAGGCAGGAGGGUCUGAGGGGCGCUGCCCAGGAAGAGGACCUACAGCAUCCUCUUCCACAGCGAGAGACCCGAACACUCUAGAGAGGAAAGCAGCUUCUGUAGAAUAAAUCGGGGAGUUUGGACCUCUGGACCCAGCACAGGUAUGAAUCGGAGUCUCGAGGUGAGUGGGCUCUUGUGACAAGCUUCAACCACGUUUGUGAUCGAAACCGUUUCUGAGUCACCAGAGAGAUGAAGCCGGUGUCACAGCAGGGACGCCGCUGUCCCCGGUAGCCCGAGCAGGGCAGGCGACCGUCAUUGCGCCGCGACGACGCAAGAGCAGCUUCCCUGGGGACAGGUGGGCACAGACCCGAUUACAGGCCGACAACACAACACGGAGCCGCUCCAGCAGCGGUGACUGGUUGGACUCUCAGGAGAGGGCGGCAGCAGGAUUCCAUGUCGGUUAGACUCUUCAGGGACGUUGCCACAGCACAGGGAAAGUGAGUUUCCGUGUCUCCUCGCUUCGCCCCUGGGUGGACCUUUGCAACUGCCUCAACCAAGAGAGUUUGGCAGAAGGGGUGCUCUGCGACCUCCGAAGCCAGGUCAUUGAGAUGCUGCGCAUUUCCAUCUUGCUUCCCCCGGACCGUCCACAACCAUCUGUGAGGCCGACCAAGCAGCUUCGUCGCUAAUACGGACCGCAGCCCAAGGCCCCAGCCCAGGCUGAACCACUAACCAAGGGGCAGCAGCAGGUGGCCGUGAGGGUGCCAUCCUGAAGGCUCUCCUCCAGCCCGUGGUGAGUCGCCCGGUUCCACACGGCAUGAACAAAAAUGGGGGAUUCCGCCUGAAUUGUUGACCUUUGAGUAGAAGAAAUGACUGUAGCCACGAAGCAGCCACAGGAGAAUUUCACCCCCAUCCUGCACCUUUGGAGGUGUGGUUCCUGGACUGGGAAGCUGAGGUAGAACCAAACUGCUCUGCACAGGAAAGGCCUGUGGACCGGCCCCAUGUCCACUGCAGCGUUAUCUGCAUGGCUGACAUGGAAACGGUCUAAGUGUCCAUCGAAGGACGGAUGGAAUCUGUAGUAAACUCCACAUCGCUCAGCCAGUACUCCUCGUCGAGUGGAGUUAUUUUAGCCUUGAGCGGGGCUGUAAGGAGUGUCGAAGGUCAUCCUGGCUCCCAAAAGGAGGCCCAAGUGCCUGCUAGGUAUCAAGCAUUGUUGCUACGUGGUUGAGGGAAACAAUGGAGCGCUCCGUAGAUCGCCAGAGUCGACUUCUGUUGUCAAAUGUCAGUGGAUCAUCCACCAUGUCAAGGAAAGGGUCUCCAAAAGGCAGAGAACACAAACAGUCUUUUUCAUGGACUGUCCCAGUACUGUCACAUCUUCCUUCCCUCAGGGCUACUCAGGCAUCAAAUUCUGAGCCAAGUUGUUAAUAUAGGACUUUUAACAAAUGUCACUGCUUGAAAAGAGAGACAACAGCCAAUUCUCUGGAAGUAGAAUAAGGAGGAAAAAGAAUAAUAAGAAAACUCCCUAUCAUGACUCUGCCUGAAACUGAUGCAUGUUAGUCAUUUCAGGAAGCCAUUGAAACAAUCAGAAGACAAAUGCUAGGAUACAAAAAUGCAACAUGAGACGAACCAAUAUGUUCGUGAAGAAGACAUCAUUCUGUGGGGUAUGUGGCAAAGAAGUAACUAGGAAAGAGAGAGACUGGGCCAGUGACAACUUACACUCUUGAAUGUUCCCCCUUGAUCAAACACGCCCAAAGACCUCUGGGCGGGAAAGGACUGUACAGAUAAUAGUCAUUCCUGGGGAAAACUAAGCUUUGAUUGCGAAUUCCAUGUGGACUCGCAAUAAGAGAUCAAAAGAUAGGACACGUAAACUAUUACCCACCUGUUUGAGAGAAAUAGCUGCUCAGAAGAUGAAAAAUGUGACUAGGGGAGCUAGGAAGCCGGGAAAUGAGCAGCUACCCAACUCUGACAACACCGCCACUGAAACAUCCGUAACUUCUCAUAGUGGGGGCUUUGGGAAUUUGGGAUAACUGGGUGAAAUAUCCACGCUGAAUUUAUAGAAACUAAAGUAGCUUCCCAUAGCUUUGGAGGAGGGAUUCUUAUAUUCUGGUGUUGCCAAGAACACAGAAGUAGGCACAUCACACAGUCAUACUUAGUAUAACAGCUCAUCGGUUAGUGUGGUAGUGGCACACUUAGGAACUAGACUUGGGGAAAUGAAUGGUAACACGUACACCUCAGCUACCUCCAAUCAUGGUCUCGUGAAGAUAGGCAGGGUGACCCGGGACCUGUUCGCGGGUACGUCACACGGCAGACAACCUCACAAGCCUCGGGACUCUCUCCUCUCCUUCCAGGUUUCGCGCUCUCAACCUAUGCAUGCUGACUACCGCCUGCUGGUGUCGGCUGGCAAUGAAAAACCCUUUGUCCUCCAUUUUGUAAGCGAUGUUGCGUGUAUUUGUGAGAGAGGACCAAGGAAGUAAAGGUUGUUCUUGAGCGUUUGUUCUGAUACAACUAAAUCGAAGAAUUUCCAACAACUUACCACGC